CACGGGGGGAGCAAGCGUUGUUCGGAAUUACUGGGCGUAAAGGGCGUCUAGGCGGAUAGGUAAGUGGGAUGUGAAAUCCCCAGGCUUAACCUGGGAACUGCAUCCGAUACUGGAUGGCUUGAAUCCGGGAGAGGGAUGCAGAAUUCCAGGUGUAGCGGUGAAAUGCGUAGAUAUCUGGAGGAAUACCGGUGGCGAAGGCGGCAUCCUGGACCGGCAUUGACGCUGAUGAGCGAAAGCUAGGGGAGCAAACGGG
rnacentral:rRNA from 1 species